rnacentral:rRNA from 1 species
GACGAACGCUGGCGGCGUGCCUAAUACAUGCAAGUCGAGCGGAACUGGGGGAGCUUGCUCCUUCCAGUUUAGCGGCGGACGGGUGAGUAACACGUGGGCAACCUGCCCUGCAGAUCGGGAUAACUCCGGGAAACCGGUGCUAAUACCGAAUAGUUUGGCGCCUCUCCUGAGGCGCUACGGAAAGACGGUUUCGGCUGUCACUGCAGGAUGGGCCCGCGGCGCAUUAGCUAGUUGGGGGGGUAACGGCCCACCAAGGCGACGAUGCGUAGCCGACAAGAGAGGGUGACCGGCCACACUGGGACUGAGACACGGCCCAGACUCCUACGGGAGGCAGCAGUAGGGAAUCUUCCGCAAUGGACGCAAGUCUGACGGAGCAACGCCGCGUGAGUGACGAAGGUUUUCGGAUCGUAAAACUCUGUUGUGAGGGAAGAACACGUACCAACUAACUAUUGGUACCUUGACGGUACCUCGCCAGAAAGCCACGGCUAACUACGUGCCAGCCGCCGCAGUAA